UGAGAGCCUUGAAAGUCUGUUCUUGGUGUC
rnacentral:piRNA from 1 species